GUCGGCGUGGGGGAAGCAUUCUUGGAGCCUGCUCCGACAUGUGGACGCGCUCCUAUGUGUCAGUCCAGUGGUGCGCUCUCGCUGGAGAGGCUUCUAGCUGGGAAGUUUCUGUAAAGUGAGUCAACGCGGCGUGCACACACACACACAGACACGCACAAGGAGGACGCCAACCCAGCCCCGCCGCCUGCCGGAUCCAAUGCCGGGCUUCCCCCCUUCUUCCAGGAGGGCACGGAGACAACUUCACUUCAAACCUCCCUCGUCGCAACAACCGAGGAUUUUAAGUUUGUUUUCACUGUCGCGCUCCGGGGAUGGUUCCAUUCGUCGCCCUGACGCGGCUUUUUCCUCGUUGGGAUUAACGCGGCGGAGGUGAUAAUGAAAGUGACGGUGUGUUUCGGGAGGACCCGGGUGGUCGUCCCGUGCAGAGAUGGGAAUAUACAAGUCCACAGCCUCAUCGAGCAGGCGGCCAUGAGGUACAAGAAGGCGAUCGCAAAGGACCCCAGCUACUGGGUCCAGGUCCACAGGUUGGAACAUGGAGAUGGAGGCAUUUUGGACCUGGAUGACAUGCUGUGCGAUGUGGUGGACGACAAAGAUAGGCUGGUAGCAGUAUAUGAAGAGCAGGACCCUCACAAUGGAGGCGACGGUACCAGUGCCAGCUCCACCGGUACGCAGAGUCCGGAACCCUUCGCCAGUGACAUGAGUUCAGCAUCGGCCUUUCAGCCCUGCCAGGCCAUCAGUGAGAUCGAGGUCACCCCGUCCGCUCUGCGAUCCAACAUGCCUCUCCGCGUCCGUCGCAGUAGUGAUCCCUCCAUGGCCGGCCUUCCUCCGGGCGAAGUCCCGGUUGUUCCAGAGGAACCGUCCAGAAAGAACCCGACCCGCUGGUCCACUACUGCUGGCUUCCAAAAGCAAAACCCCAAACCAAACACGAGCACCGGCAGCCUGGAACGAAAGGGUAGAGGAGGCCACGCCUAUCGGAGUCUUCCUCGUGACGCGAGUGGCUGGACCGCUCAGUUCCAGAGAGAAAUUACUCGAUCGUCCCUGAGUGCCAACCAUCCAAUGGUGGACCAAUGGCUGGACAGACAGGAACAGGUGGAGGAGGAGGAAGAAGAGCGAAGGAGACAGGAAAGGAGGAUCGAAAGGAUAGAGCCAAUAGGGAGGGCCGAUUCCUCAUUGGAACGUUCGCACGUGUUCAGUCUAGAAGGCCUGCUGAAGCCAGUCGAGGUGUCCAACGGAGGAGGGCCCCUGGGGAUCCACGUAUUGCCUCUCAGCUCGCAGGACGCCAGGACUCAGGGCUUGCUGGUGAAGCGUCUGGAGCGCGGGGGGAAAGCCGAGCAGGAGCGUCUCUUCCAGGAGAACGACUGUAUUGUCAAAAUUAACCAGGGAGACAUCCGCCACCUGCGCUUCGAACAAGCCCAGAGCAUUUUCAAGCAGGCGAUGCGUGGCCCGUACAUCCUCUUCCAUGUGGUCCCCGCAGCCAUGAAGAGGCACUACGAGCUGCUGAUGGCCCAGACCGAGCUCAGCCCGCCCCAGCCCAACAGAGUCCGCUUCAGCCAAGUCUCCCUGCAGUCGGGGGAUCGGUCCAGCCUGGUGGGGGGGCUGCCGCCCAGAUCUGGACCACAACCAGGCCUCAACCACAACCACCCGGGACCCGUGGCAGGAAGCACCCCCGAGCCGAGCCGACGGUACGUCACCUUACCCCACACCGUGGUCGCCAGGACCUCUUCAGCCACCUCGCCCUCCCUGCAGCGCAGGAUAAGCACCAACCUGUCCACCAGCUCCUACUUAAAGAACAAAGGCCGCAAAUUCAACAUCCAGCUGAAGAAAGGUCCAGAGGGUCUCGGGUUCAGCAUCACAUCCAGAGACGUACCCAUUGGUGGCAGUGCUCCCAUUUAUGUGAAAAACAUCCUUUGUCGAGGGGCCGCCAUCCAAGAUGGCCAAUUGAAAGCCAGAGACCGGCUGCUGGAGGUCAGUGGAGUGGACCUGAAUGGCAAGAGCCAGGAGGAGGUGGUGGCCCUGCUCCGAGCCACGCCCAUGGGUGGGACUGUGAACCUGUUGGUGAUCCGCCUCGAGGACUCGCUGCUGCCCCGAGAAGUGCAUUCAGAGGAUGAUGACAUGGUCCUAACCCCAGACGGUACACAAGAGUUCAUGACCUUUGAGAUCCCUCUGAGUGACUCCGGCUCGGCAGGGCUGGGGGUCAGCGUCAAGGGCAACAGGUCCAAGGAGAACCACGCCGACUUGGGCAUCUUUGUGAAAUCCAUUAUUAACGGAGGCGCUGCUAGCAAGGACGGCCGCCUACGGGUCAACGACCAGCUCAUCGCAGUCAACGGGGAGUCGCUGCACGGGAUGACCAACCAGGACGCCAUGGAGACGCUGCGCACAUCCAUGUCCGUAGAGGGCAACAAGCGGGGGAUGAUUCAGCUCAUCGUGGCCCGGCACGUGUCCAAAAACAAUGAGGAAGCCCCUGCCAGCCCUUCGGUUCUAGAGCAUCCCAUGAAAUCUCUCCUGGACAACCACGAGCGCCACAUUUCCCAAUCCGUGUAUGAAAGCAUCGAAGGCUUGGAGCCGCUGGCUAAUACGAUCGGACGCAUUGGUAACUACCAGCUCUCUCCGACGGUGAACAUGCCUCAGGACGACGUAGUGAUGAUCGAAGACGAUAGGCCGCCGCCGCUUCCUGCCCAUCUCUCCGACCAAUCGUCCUCCAGUUCCCAUGAUGACAUGGGCUUUGUGGGAGAGGACCCGGUGCCCUGGAUCCACGAGCUGCCCGGUCAGAAUGAAUGGUCGCUCAGUCCAGAUGCAGACGCCGACCCUGACGGCUCGUUCCAGCGGGAGGGCUUCGGCCGCCAGAGCAUGUCUGAAAAACGCACCAAACAAUAUGAAGAUCCCGCCGCGCUGGAGAUCAUGAAGACACGCAAGUCCAAGAGCAUGGAUCUGGGUGCCGCAGAACAGAUCCUUGGACCCUCGCUGGGCCUGACAAAGUCCAGCUCCCUUGAAAGCCUCCAGACGGCCGUCGCCGAGGCCACGCUGAACGGCGACAUCAACGUUAAGAGGGCGCGCUCGCACAUCGCCAGGGGCCGCGGCUGCAAUGAGAGCUUCCGGGCUGCAAUCGACAAAUCGUACGAGAAACCUGGCGUCACAGCGGCAGAAGAGGAGAACAGCGCUGAGAUGUUGGACGAGGACACCGAGGGAAGCUCCAGAUCAGGUCACGAGUCGAUGUCCACCAGCGGCGACCUCACUGCGCGACCCGGGCUGAACGGCAACCCCUCCAAAGAUGACAGGCAGGGGGAUCGGGACAAGGUCGCGGGGAAGGAGAAGAAGAAACCCGAAAGGGACAAAGAGAGGGAGAAGGACAAGAGCAAAGCCAAGAAAGGCGUGCUGAAGGGCCUGGGCGAGAUGUUCAGGUUCGGAAAGCACCGGAAGGAUGAGCGGCCAGGAGACGGGAUGGAGAGGAAGGGCUCCAGUAAAUCUAAAGCUGAGGACAUGCAGGCGUCAGAGGAGGAGACCAUGCGGAUGAGGCGGGAACAAGAGAGAAUACAUGUCAAGAUGCGGGAGCUUCGGGAGAAGCAGUCAAUGGAGAGGGAAUAUGCUGAGAUCCAAGACGUUGUCGGCGGUACCUUCAGCUCAGAUGAGGAGCCCACCUACGCCGGCAUCGGAUCGUUAAACUCGUCGGUGGAUAGCAGCGGCAUGGAGCCUUACAACCACCACUACCAUCUCCCCCAGACACCCCAGAGUCCUCCCCUUCCCUUGAGCCUACAGGGCAACGGUCCACCCCUGGAGGCCCUGUAUGCCCAGGUCAACAAGCCGCGCAAUGGACGCCCUGCAGCUCCAGACAGGUAGGGGGCGCCCAAAAAACAGUCCAUAUAUGCAGUCGCUGCAAGGCCGUUGACUCAACAUACAUGUCCACAUCCACCGACACUCAAAGCUUCACAGUGAGCUUUGUGACUACUACCUGUCUCCUUCAUUCAAAGGACACUAACUAGCCUAGUGCCUCGUGCUUGAGCUUUGCAACAAUCCAGUUCAUUUACACCUCAUGUAUAAUGUAUCAGCAGCGGUGUGUUUGUAUUUGCUUUUACUUGUCAUGCAUGGCAAACGCUGCACAGAAAAACAAUGAAUUUCUCACAGGGUUUUAUCGCUGCCUCGUCCCACGAGGCAUUGCCCCGUGCAAGCAGGCGGAAUCGACAGGCAAGUUAAAAAAAAGUGAACAACAAGAGCCUAUCAGUCAUUCUCCCUGUGCUAGAAUUUAAUAUCAGGCAGUCCUUUUUUUUUUUCAUUAUCCUUGGAUCACAGGUAAUCCUCCCCGGCUGAGAGUCACGCUGCAUGUGUCUUCAGCUUGUUUGUCGCUGGGGGGUUGCAUCGCACAUAACCUCCGUGUCAACACAUAUUUGAUGUGUCGACAACGCCAUGCAGAGCUUUACUUUCAUAUGUGUGUGUCGAUAGCCUAUUGCCAAAAGGCCUGUGUGAAGUUCGCAUAUAUGGUAUUAUUAGUGUAUUUAAGCUCCAGUGAAUGAACUACAGCUUAACAAAGCCUCAACUAAGUAUUUUUUCUUAAACUUAAUGCUUGUGACUAAUGCUGAUUUAAAGGAGCUCUGAGGGUCACAGGUUUCCCGUAGGUCACAUCCAGUGGUGACAAGUCAGGAGAUUUCAAUUCCCAUGGUCUCCCAGAACCUUUCGUGGUGUUAUUAAUGGGUCGGAUAAUACCCACCUCCCGUGAUUGACAGCUGUCACUUGGGGGCUUGUGACCUUUCAAUGCUGGGUUCAGGUGGGGGCGGGGCGGGGGGCAUGUGCUACCAAGCUGUGUGUGUGACCGAGACAGAGCACCUCUGUGUGAGUGUGUGCGUGUGCUUUUUUAUCGGAGGAUUUACAGAGGUAGAAUCUCCACCCUGUAACACACCCAUGACAGUCAGAGUAGAUAUGACAAGGUUAUCUGGCCCCUCUGAUAGCCAGCUAAAUCCGUGUGCCAAUACAUCCGGGGCUCAGUGAAGGCCACUGAUCCAUAUGUCUAAAGUGAAGGUUACCUCCACGUGUUUCCUGUGGAUAGCCUCGUUGUGUCAGAACAGCCAUCUACUGUCAACUAUCCCGCUUCCCCAAGCACAAUCCAAUGAUAAGCCUGAAAGCCAGUUGAAAAUGAAGGCUAGACGAUGCUCGACUGGUGUUCAAUGAGUCUGUGUAAUCAGAUCACAAGAUGUUGGUCAUUGAUAGAUAUGAUGCUAUUGAUUGUCAAUAGGCUCUGUGCGGGGAAAAGCCUUAACAUAAGACAUGAUUAUUAUUGGGAUGUCUCCUUCGUUGCCAGAGGGAAUAUUAAUAGCACUCUGCUCAGUGGCUCUCACAGAGAAAAAAAGAGAAACAAAAGGUAUGCAAAGGGAUCCUGCAUGAGGGGUGUAGUUGUUAAAAGAUGCUUUAUUACUUAGAUAUAACUUACUUAGAAAAAUUAUUUUUAAAUACUUUCGGGUGCCAAAUUCCCUCUGACCAUCUGGAUGGUGUUCCAUAUUUUAGAUGUUUUUUGUAAUCUUACAAACUGUAUUUUUCGGUUAAAAAACAAAUACAUAAUACCACGCAUUAGGUCGCCUCUGAAAUUCAUCGGUUUCAAAAAACAAACAACAUAAAAAAAAGAAGACCCUCUUAUCUUCUCCUUCCUGCUCUCGUGUUUUAGCGGCUUCCUGGAGAUUGUAUUUUCACCUUCACAGGUUUAUUUCAGCACAGAAAGCUACGUGUGGCAUGUUCAUUAUAAACACAAGCUUAUAUUUGGUUUGGGGUCUGAGCUUUAAGUAUUGAUAGAGCACUAUAGAGUUUUAUUUGCAGGGACCGGAUUAACUGUCGCGAGUGUUGUGAUUUGAUUUGAAAUAUGCGCCGCAUGUUCAACACUGCAUUUCUGCUUUGCACCUCUCACUGCUUUGCAUAUCUUGUGUAUGCCAGCCCGGCCGUACGCCUGUAAUAUUUGUCUUGCUGCCUUUGAGAUAUAAUAAUAAUAUGCACUUGUUCUUAUUUAGCUCAGAGGCUUUCUAUUUACGAUUUGCAGAAAAAGGAGCUUGAAACACAUUCAGAUUCAAGACUCCUGUCACUUGCCUAUCAUAACAAACAUAAACAGUAAUUUGCAUUUCUAAAUUAAACUUAUUGGAACUUUCAUUGUCAAGUAGAAAGCGUCGACACAACAGAAUUUGCAAUUAUUUCCGCCGGUUCCAUGUAUCAAGGCUGCAAAAUUGGAUUGAGAAGUUUUGUUUUGCCAUUUUGAGAUCCAGUGCGACUUCAAAUGUCUUCACUUUCUAAUCCUGCCGCUGCUACUUAACCCAGUAUUUUGGAGCUGCAGGACUUCCUGUUUGAAGGAAGUGGAGGAGGUUUGUGCAGGGAAGGCUUUUCAUUCCCGUCUGUCAGUCAGUCGUCAGAAUGAAAGAGAAGAAUGAGUUGCGUUUAACCCCGACCUGGAUACUGUUACCGCCUUCUGAGGUGGGCCCCGGAGAAACACGCUCCGAUCAAAGAGGUAGAUUAAGGAUCACAUUUUAAAGGGACAUUUGAGUUAUUUGCUAGCCGAGUCAUAUCUCAUGGUCAGACAUCUGACAGCAAGCCGGCAACUUGUAACACCCCUGAAGGAACUUCUAUACAACAUGCAAAAACAGAUAAAUUAAUGUAAAAUCACACUGCUUAGUGCCUCUAACCCGGAUUUAUUUUGAUUGACAACCCUAUGCUGUCUACAGAGGCCACAGUGUGGAGCAAUGUACAAUUCCAAAAUGAGAAGAUAUUCAAGCAUUUCAUACCGUUUGUUUUUUAGUUGUAUAUUUUACACAAACACGUAUAAAAUACAUACAAGUUAAGGUAACCCUGUAGUCUGUUGUUGGCUGGCUGUUUGCUAGCAUAGCAAAUAACAUUAUAUGGGGAUUUUAGGUCAUCUGAUAAUCAGAUGACCUCUAGAUGCGUUGUACUACUGCACAAAUCUUACCUUGUACAAUUGGAAGCAAAUUGAGUUGAAAUUAGCUGACAGCCUUCCGUUUAUUUUUCGCUCUUCUUUAGUGAAAAACCUGAACCGUGUGUUGGAGGACGACUACACUCAAACUAAUCAGCAUCUUCCAUCUAAAAGCCACCCAGUCAAACAUUUGCAUAGCUGGAAAGACAUCAAACAAUGCUGGUGUACCCAGGAGUCUGAGUUCUCAUCGCUUUGUUUACUGUACAUCCCUCGGUGCUGUCAUUACAAGACGUUGUUUUUUUUUAAUCCAGUCAGCUAAUUAGAGACACUAAGGGGCCCUUCGGUUGAUGUGGGUUGGCGCUCCUUUUCAGAGGAGGUAGGGUACUGUACGUUAUAGUUUUGCAUCUUGGACUCUUUUUAUACUUAAUGUGUUUACACACAUGUGCAUUCUUUUUGUGCCAUUAUAAAGUCGUUCGCCCAUGACUCGCCAAAGCUGUUUAUUCACUACAGUUAAUAAGAAGAGGUUGCAGCUGGAUAAACAGACCAGGAUACGCCUCUCUCUCUCUCUCUCUCUCUCUCUGAUAGACCUUUGCUAAUGGAGCCCUAAUGGGAAGGUCACUGUGACUGUAAAAGCGGGAAUGAGUCAGACCUGAGCCCAUAAACCCCUUGGAGAUACAAGAACCCCUGGUUGCUGUGGGCGUCUACAGAUCCUGCCCAUUCUGCCAUAUCGGGUUUUACUGUUCCUUUACGGGAUCACGGUACAACAAGAGCUCGUUUGACAAUUUAUUACCAACCUCCACGUUAUUAGAGCUGGCAGCACCAGCGGUGUUUUGACAAUGCUGUCAGACUCCAUAAAACUGAAGGGCACCAAUAGAAAUCCAGCACCCAUUCCCGAUCAGUUGUGUUAAAAGCCUUAUAUAAAGCAAAAGUAAAUAUCGUUUUUCACCCUAAAACCUGUAUGAAUCCUGCUCUAUUACCGGGUUUAAAUGAAAGGGAGCCAGACGGAUGGUGUUUUCUUUUUCAGUUGUUUGGUUUCACCUUAUGAAAAAAAAAAAAAAAAAAAAGUUAUAAUAGAAAAAAUAGAAUGACCUCAUUUCUCGACAGGCAGCCGACAAGUCAACCCCUCCAUCUGCUGAGGGACUGGGGGGGGGGGUUUUGGGUGACUGCCGUUGGAUGCUGCGUUUCAGAACGACAACCUGACAGGUGCCAAGCUCGAUGGGAUUUGUGGGAAGCGAGCGUGAAACAAAGCAUCACCUUUGAAAGCGCAAUUUGAUUGACUGCUGCUCCCAUUACCCAGUCGGGUUUCUAAAGCUCCUUAGAGAAUGGGCGAGGAAGAGUCAGAGAGACACCGAGAGGAAGAGGUGGGGGGGGGUAAGCAGGGGGGGAAAGAGAUAUGGAGCUCAGCGGUGCAAAGCCCUUGAAGUCCUCUGCGAACUCAGCAGCUCCAGAGAUGCUGGCAGGCAAGCAGCAAUGAGAGAAAAAGAACCCUCAGAGUCCUCACCUACAGAAACUAACUCACUAUGGUGUUUUUCCCUUUGCUCUCUCCACUCUAAAAUUCAGUCAGAACCUCCACUUUGCACGGUCUUGAAAUUGGAUUAUGAGGUAGCUAAUGCUUUUUCCGCAGUUGAUAAAAGGUCAGGCUUUUCAUCUCUGGUGAAAGUUUGUGAGGUGCCCCCACACCACCCCACCCCACCUUACCUUCGCUCCCACCACCUCGCCACUCUCAAGGUCCAAGACGUCAACUCGGGAGUUGGUUGAUGUUAAUCUGCUGUGAGACACGUCCACAGCUGUCCACUGUGGUUUAAAACCCACAGGCCGAUGGAGCCUUUACCCUCACUAUUGUUUGGAUCAUCAUCAUCACGAUGAACAAUUCAUUUUAUCUGGUUUCCUUUCGACCCCGUCACGUUUUUUUGGGGACGAGAACAUCACAGUGCCAUUCCAAUGGGGACCCAUAAUCAUCAGGUUUAAUCUGCGCUGGUUUCUUUGAAAGAACCAUUGGAUGAUGCGAUUUAGAGUAAUGCAGAUGGGGAGUGCGUUCUUACGAACCUCGACGGCCACCGGGCCAAUCCGAAGCAAUCGCUUUUUUUCAAAUCGUUUGCUGUUUCUUAUUUGGCGUCUGUAAUUAACUCCCCAAUCAACAAUCACUCUCUGUGAAUUUUAUGGUCUGUAUUUUCAUUUAAAUGCAAUCAAAAUGAGAUUAACAACAAUCUCUGACUGCAACAUCUGUAGCUUUGAUUAAAUCCUACCUCAAUAAUUCAUUGGUAAACAAAUGAAUCUUUUACGAGCCCUGCAUUAAGACUUUAAUAACAGCUCGUAAGUCUCUAAAUGCGUUUUCUUGUAGUUCUCAAGGGAGUAAAAUUGAUAUGUCUAGCAUCAAGGAGCAGUUUGCUUUAAUGCGACACGUGCAUUAGUGGUAACUAAUUACUUUUUACUCACUCAUUGGUAUCUCUGUUAUUCCAGAGUGUUUCGUCUGGUGUAUCCAGUUCCUCCCCCUCCUGUUGGCUGCCAAGCUAAACACGACUUCCAGUCGACGCAGACGGUGUCACGUUUUGUUCCCAGGGCCAUGGCAGCAUGUUUCGGCGCUGCCUUUUGUUUGUCUCUGACAUCCACCGGCGUUUUUUUCCAUUACUCCCUCUGAGUGUCCUUGUGUGGGUGUGUAAUUAGUGUCACAGUGACUGCGUGGAGCGGUGCCUUCUCCUGCUCCUAAUUGAGAAUAAGAAAAAGGACACCGAGCUGGUGGGAAGAGUUCAUCUGGGAUGUGAUGCCGGUGUAAUGAAUGAGCCCGGGUGAAGCCUCUGGUUCAGCCGUUGUUGCCGGCGGCCGCAGGACGUCCUCGGCACCUGGUAAGCCAGUGUAGGUGAUGUGUCAGUCCCCACACAGCUUUGGAAAAAUGUGAACCAUGUAAACCCUGCAGAUGUGUUACAAAAUGAGGGUGCAGGUCCAAUAUACAGGCACAUUCUCACACUGACUUUUGCCCUCUCCUCCCAGCUCGCUCUGUGCUGUGGCGAUAGUGCAAGAGCCCUAAUGCACCAAAUGCACAUCAGCCUUAUCGCAAGGGUUCUACACUGAUAGCAACGUGUAUCUCCCAGGCAAAGCAAAUGAAUUAUUUUUCUGGUCUGCUUUCAUUUUUAUUUUAUUUUUUCCGCUUCGGAGAGGGCCCGGUGGGAUGGAUGUGAUGAGAUGGAGCACACAGAAGGCAAUUUAUCCUCCGUUUGUACCAUUACAUUCAUUUAAGAAAGCAAACAGCCUGAAAGCAGAUCGAGAGAGAGAGAGAGAUAUAGACCCACCUCGCCUUCAACUCUACAUCAAGUGGACAAGCUGAUUGAGGUUGCAUGUACAGUAUGUAUUCUAUCAACAUCCCUCAAAUGGGAAGCCUGGGAGCCAUGCAUGCAGUACCUAAUGAAUUUGAAGAUGAAGGGAAAGGGGAGCGUGCCAUUUAGGGCAGGCAUGCCCCAGCAGACAAAAUGGGGAGCAGAGAAGGUGGCGGGGGGCUGGAUAUGGCUGAGGGGUACCUGAAGCUUCGUUUGCUGAUCGGCACCGGAGGGCAUCUCGUUACCGGCAGUCAGCAGCUGCAAAUAGACAGUUAAUCCGCCCUCAACUCUCCUGAAGGCUGCCGAUGCCGUACCGACUGUGCCACGCCGAGGAGAGAUUAGCAAAAUACACAAACUAACAGGCAGGUUUUUCCCACACAAUUUAGAGAGAACGCCAUGAUUUGUUUUGAAAAUGUCUCAGCCACUAAUGGGGAGAAAGCACACGGACAACAUGUUAGCAAAUGCGAGACGUACUUUUCUCUGAAUUCAUGGGCUGAAAAAUCGCUUUUGAUUGAUUAACACGCCCCGUGGUGCUCCUGUUACGUGAACAUGUAGGCUCCUUUGUGAGAAACUCUGGUUUUCACAUGAUGGAUAACCCAAUUUCAUAAACUAAUCACGGAUUCUCUCCGCUAAGAAGGAGUCACUGCGUUCAGCCCCGCCGCCCGCCGCUCUCACACAGCGGCACCAGAAAUAGAUCAGGUGUGGAAUGCGAUUGAGAGGCAGGUGACUGCGGAGCACGGGCUUGCACUAUGAACCGUGGAGGCAAGCAGAUGACUCUCAUGCCUCCUCACGUUGCUUUCAUCUUAAGUUACGCCGAGUGUCAAUACACACACGCACAGGAAAGUGACCUCGAAUACAGCAGGCAGGGACGCUAACUGCUGCAUUUUUGCCUUCUGUGCUCUGAUGUUUGCCAGCCAGGGGAAGUGAUUGUUAACUUUAUAAUGAAAGGGAGUGUUUAGGGCUUCCCUUCUCUCUGUGUAUACAACUUGUAGAAGACGGGAGUGCAAAAACGGGGUGAUAUUAAGGAAAGUAACUGAAUAACAGUGAGUACAAAAGAAAGGAUUAGAUUAAUCGAUUUGUUGUUGAAUCAAGUCAAUAUUUGUCUUUGUGUAUUAGCCAGUGUUGUCCGAUGAUGGAGGUUACUUCCUGACUCUUCAUUACAACAGAAAAGCUCCCAUACAGUGGCCUCUUCUGUUCAUAGUAACAGAUGACUGGACCAAAUCACACCAUGUUACGCCCAUAUACAACAAACUGCAAGUUUUCUCUGAAUUUCGUCUUCUCGUUUCAUCUCCUCGCCUGCGUCCUCAACAAAGGACAGACAAGGAACCACCAAACAGCCAGUCAGCCUGCCUGCCCUCAGAUGCCAGAGGGUACUGUGGUUCAGUCUGUUUUUAGAUCAUGUGUCUCAUCUGUUUACAAUCCAAGAAAUCAAGGACUGGUAGUUUGUUGAUGUAUAAUCAUCAUGCGCUUGCAAUGCCAGUGUUGGUUUCACCUUCUUGACUUGCACUUUCACAUACAUUAGAAAUUGGACAAAGCAGUAAAUGAAUGUAUUUUGCAUGCGGCCGUCAUUUCUAAAAGGGCUGACUGCUGACCCUCAUCAUUCCAAACAUCAGCGCCUCAGCUCUCAGCGACUGUUACGGCAGUAAUGGUGUCAUUUUGAAUAUGAGCACAAUAAUAAUAAUAUGUAAUCAGGUAUCGCCUUUAACCACCAGUAUAUUACAAUAAAAUAUAUAUUCUCAAGAAAACCUUCAAGCAUAACCUCUUACUGUCAUUCCCUCUGUGUAUUGACAGAACCCACACAUAUUUGCUGUUAGAAAGGGUUCAAAUCAAUACCAUUAAUAAUGGACGAGGCCACUAAAUAGUAUAGACAGAAGAGAUUUAGGCCUAAAAGUUUAGUACUAACCAGUGGCUCCUGCAUCAAUUACCAGACUGUGGCCUUAACACUAUUUUUUAAGUGGUCGCUGGGGUACAGCUGUAUCGAGAAGUUAGUCCAUUCUAAUCGAAAAGCCAGCCGGUGUGUACAGGGCACAUAAUUAAAUUUACCUUGCCCACAUCUGAGCUGGCGAGCAUGUGCACUCAACACCGAACGGCAUUAGUUCCCUCUAUUUUAAGAGCAGUAUCCAUAUUCCUUUUGUCAGACUACGCCAUUGUCGAUCCAAUCCCCGUGCCUUGAACAAGCUCCCAGCGGCAAAUCGGAUCUCAGCGAGAGCCUUUGUAAUUACAGGGAGCUGAAUGGGUGAAUACGUCCCAAAUCCGCAAGGCCAUCCAGCGACACAUUCCAUCUGUCUUAAGCUCCCUUCCAACAUUUGAGUUUGAGUCACGAGGAGGUAUUUAAAUAGUGCACAUCACCACCUUUUUUUUUUCUCUCCUGCUGUUUACAUGGGAAUUCUUUGAAGUCUUUUGAAACUUUUGCACAAAAUUUGGUCUUUUACCGUGUCAUGAAAAAUGAAGGCCUUUCACAUCAAUUCUGGAGAAAUAAUUGUUGUGGUAUAAUGGGACUCUGUUCUGAUUUAAUAUGUUGAUAACUUUGCAGUGUGGAUGAAUAAUCCUCGGCUAUUGUAGACAUGCAUUUGACAGCUACACUAUAUUAUGAAGAAGCACUGUCGGAUAUAUGGAAGUUCAUAAAAUGCCAAUGCAGGGAGAUAUGUGUGUGAUUAAUCGUCACUUAAAAUAUAACUAAUGUUCAUGUUUCCACAUUUCACAAUAGGAAUUAUUUGCUUGGUUUUCAUGUUACACCUCUGGCUUCAUAUAUUGACAGCCAGAGAUUUUUCUAACUUGCAUGUCAGCAGAGUGAAUAACCUGUGGCCAUGCAGUGAACAUGGAGCUCAUUCCUUGACUAUUACCCCGUCAUCUCACACAGGUAGGAUGUAAUUAAACUUGUAGAAUAUACCAAGGGAAGCCCCAGGGCUUCUCCGUGUCUUUCUUUCCCCAGUGCAGGCUGUGCUGGGGCCACGACUCGGCUGUAGGUCCCCUCCAGCAAAAUGGGACAAGUGCUCGGUUAGGUCCCCUGAGCCGGACCGGUUUGAGCUCACUGUUGGACCUAAUAAAACCCUGUGGGGGCCUCCAGACAUCUCUAAUGCCAUCAGCAUGCCUGUAAAAAUGCUCUUAGUCCCUUGCAGCAGCGUAAUGGCAGCACAUGGCCUCGUUGGUCCGCUGUAAUGGGCUCCAUGAUGUCAUCACGGAUCAUCACGGAGCCAACGGUCUUAGAGCCUGGCCUGCUUUCAAAGAAAAGCAAGCAUAUUCGAGGGAAUUGCAUUCAGUUUCCAUUGUAUGCGCUGUGAUUGUCAGCUGCCACACAGUACCGCGUUUUAAAGGGGCAUUCCACUGAUCAGUAGUACUAUAACAACUACUACUACUAUUCUGUAGUAGUAUAACUACUACUACAGCCUGUACACACAUCUUUAUGGUACCAUCUGUUGCUUUGAAGCGUUCUGUAGUCUGACAUAAAUAGCCCUGAUGAUGUCCGGGUUAUUGUCUGGAGGCUUGCAAGUGGGUGGAGUUAGAAAUAUGUGAGCUUUUAAGAGACAGGGAGGUUAAAAUAAAAUAUGCCGAGUUGCAUUAAGGGAAUUGUGGGAUCCGCUGUUUUUACAAGGGACUAAAAGUCAGGGUAUCCCUGCUUCUGACAAGCUCAUAUAUGAAAUGAUUGUAAAAUCAGUAUGUCUCAAUUAUUCAUUUCUUAAUAAUCCUUUUAGUGGGAUGUUCAUGACAUAGAUGAAAAAACAAAUGCCAGUUUGAAGAUACAGUAUAUAACAAUGGCCGUUCCGAGUUCUACUGUUACCUCGCUUUCUUCCUCUGUGCUGUCCCGCAAUUCUAAAUCUUCCCCUAUUGGGACAAGAAACUCUUGUCUGUUGGAGGAUCAUGUAUAAACUGUUGUUAUGGCUGUUGUCUCGCUAUGCGUCUUCAUAAUCACAGUAAAUCUCACCAGACAUCUGUUUGACAGCAGAGCCUGAGUCAUGGAUAUAGCGAGGUGCUACAUUGUCAAAGCGUAUAUCACCAUGGAAUGAUUCUCUCGGUCGAGUGAGAUCAUAAACUGUGAGAUGGGGGAGGUUAGAGAUUCCGUCAUGGGCCGCGGUACCUGUGCGCUCCCUGAAGUAUAGCUUUCAUUUUUAUCAUGACAGGUCGAUAUUCAUGUUAGUCUGUAACGCAUCCGCCCUCUUAUUAUGUGUGCCGCCAAAUUCAUCAAUGUUUUUAAAGCACGCCUAAAAAACCACUCUAUAAAACUCGUCUGUUCUCCAACGAGCAUCGUGACAUUUUGCAAAAUAUUAUCAGUAAUACCUCGGAAUGUUCUCCAUCAAUUUUCGCCUCUUACAAAACUCUCUUUGCAUUUUCCGCAAGACCGAGAACAUCAUAAAUUGAUAGCAAGGCUCCAACCCUGGAGCAAAAGUGAUUUAUAAAAGUGAUUUAAGACAAGUGGAAUGCAUUCGUCUCUUGGAACUAACAUGUCUUACUACACAAAGAUAUUGGGAGUGUGGAAAAUGUUGUUACAGCUCCAGUAGAAAAAGAGAUGGUAAAUUUCAAUUUUUGCAUUCAUUAUAAUGUGGAGAAGAACCUACAGUUGUUCACUUCCUCUAUUCUGCUUCAUUAAUGCCCCUUUCUCUCAGUCCACAUCUAUUCUCAUUCUUUUCUCCCUUUUUCCUGUUGCGUCUCCCUCGUCUAUCUUCCCCAUUUUCCACCAAUGCCAGGGAUACUGAACGAGCCUCGUCUACCGGAGCCAUAAUGAGCAUGUUCGCUAAAGCACUGAUUCAUCGGAACAAAGGGCGCCGGAGAGAGCGAGGGAGAAGGAUGGAUGACAAAGGGGAGAGAGGGAGAAUAAGAGAGAAAGAGGGA